rnacentral:rRNA from 1 species
UACGUAGGGUGCAAGCGUUGUCCGGAUUUAUUGGGCGUAAAGAGCUCGUAGGCGGCUUGUUGCGUCGACUGUGAAAACCCGCGGCUUAACCGCGGGCUUGCAGUUGAUACGGGCAGGCUAGAGUUCGGUAGGGGAGACUGGAAUUCCUGGUGUAGCGGUGGAAUGCGCAGAUAUCAGGAGGAACACCGAUGGCGAAGGCGGCUCACUGGUCCGGUACUGACGCUGAGGUGCGAAAGCGUGGGAGCAAACAGG